UACGGAGGGUGCAAACGUUGCUCGGAAUCAUUGGGCGUAAAGCGCACGUAGGCGGUCCAGCAAGUCGGGUGUGAAAGCCCUCGGCUUAACCGAGGAAGUGCAUUCGAAACUACUGGACUUGAAUACUGGAGAGGAUCGCGGAAUUCCCGGUGUAGAGGUGAAAUUCGUAGAUAUCGGGAAGAACACCGAUGGCGAAGGCAGCCAUCUGGACCGACACUGACGCUGAGGCGCGAAAGCGUGGGGAGCAAACAGG
rnacentral:rRNA from 1 species